rnacentral:tRNA from 1 species
GCAUCGGUGGUUCAGUGGUGGAAUGCUCGCCUGCCACUCGGGCGGCCCGGGUUCGAUUCCCGGUCGAUGCA